rnacentral:rRNA from 1 species
AGUGAACGCUGGCGGCAGGCCUAACACAUGCAAGUCGAACGGUAGCACAGUAAGAGCUUGCUCUUACGGGCGGAGGGUGGCGGACUAGAGCGGAAUACAUCCGAACCUACUUUUUCGCGGGGGAUAACGUAGGGUAAUACACCAUACUACCGCAGACGAACAACGGGUGAAAUCAGGAGAUCUUCCGACCUUGCCCGCCUGUGGGAGCCGAUGUCGGAUUAGCUAGUUGGGGGGGUAAAGGCGCACCAAGGCGACGAUCCGUAGCUGGUCUGAGAGGAUGAUCAGCCACACUGGGACUGAGACACGGCCCAGACUCCUACGGGAGGCAGCAGUGGGGAAUAUUGGACAAUGGGCGCAAGCCUGAUCCAGCCAUGCCGCGUGGAGGAAGAAGGCCUUCGGGUUGUAAAGCGCUUUUGUAGGGAAAGAAAAGCAGCAGGUUAAUACCGCGCGGUUCUGACGGUACCGUAAGAAUAAGCACCGGCUAACUUCGUG